rnacentral:rRNA from 1 species
GUCAGCGGCCAUAGGAACUGGGAAACGCCCGAUCCCAUCCCGAACUCGGAAGCUAAGCCAGUUCACGAUGCCAUUUGUACUCUCCUGUCGGAGGGGAAGAUGCAUUGCUGCUGACA